CCUACGGGUGGCAGCAGUGAGGAAUAUUGGUCAAUGGACGAGAGUCUGAACCAGCCAAGUAGCGUGAAGGAUGACUGCCCUAUGGGUUGUAAACUUCUUUUAUAUGGGAAUAAUAUGUUCCACGUGUGGGAUUUUGUCUGUACCAUAUGAAUAAGGAUCGGCUAACUCCGUGCCAGCAGCCGCGGUAAUACGGAGGAUCCGAGCGUUAUCCGGAUUUAUUGGGUUUAAAGGGGGGCGAGGCGGGUUUUUAAGUCAGUUGUGAAAGUUUGCGGCUUAACCGUAAAAUUGCAAUUGAAACUGGAAGUCUCGAGUACAGAAGAGGUAGGCGGAAUUAGUGGUGUAGCGGUGAAAUGCUUAGAUAUAACGAAGAACUCCGAUUGCGAAGGCAGUUCACUGGACUGCAACUGACACUGAGGCUCGAAAGUGUGGGUAUCAAACAGGAUUAGAUACCCCAGUAGUC
rnacentral:rRNA from 1 species